rnacentral:lncRNA from 1 species
UGUUGAGGAAUGGAACAUGCUGUGAAAGCCGGAACUAGUGGGGAGGCUUCAGCAGAUCUAGGAGCCCAUUUAGCUAUCACACAUUCUCAAGAGGCUCUGGGCUCUGGUACUAUAAAGAUGGAGAAAACAGUGAGAAGUGAAAAUAAGGACGAGCCCCCAAAAGCCUGCAUACAGAGGGGUUGGACCCACCCCAACCUACAGAUUGUAGGCAGUCCAGGUGAAAAACAGAAGGCUCUUCCCUAAAAAAAAAAAAAAUGGAAUGAACAAUCUGGGAAAACCCACAGCUUCUAGUAUGGCUUCUACAACCCCAGAAUAAAGCCUCUCUUCAUUCCAGCCCUUAAGGGGCCUGAAUUCUAACACAUCUAUUCCCCCAAAACCAGAACUCACUCUAAAUUCCCACUCAGGGAGAGAUAUAUUGGGAGGAGGGACAGAAAAGAAACUCCAUUUACACAACAAAUCACUAUCCCAUCUGCGUAAACUGAAUAAUGCAUCCCUUUCCCAAAAUGUUACCUUAUAUGUGAAAAGGGACUCAGCAAAUAUGAUUAAAUCAAUGAUUUUGAGAUGGGAAAUUCCCCUGAAUUAUGUUGUAGGCCCAAGGUAAUCGUAAUCAUGAGGGUCCAUAUCACAGCGAGGCCAGGAAUGACAGGGUCAGAAAGAAGGCAUUGUGACAAUGACAGCACCAAGAGGACAGGUGACAUGACAUAGGGCUGCAAGCAGGAAUGCUGUGGGCCUGUAGAGGCUGGAAAGUCAAGGAAACAUACUUUUUUCCCCUGGAACCUCCAGAAGGAGCCAAGGCUUCCAACAACUUCAUUUUAGUUUUUGAACCCCACUUGGGAGAACACUGCUCUAAAUAAUUACUAAGUGGGAUAAUAAGUGUAACAAGUGGAAUAUUAAAGUGGAGGAAUGGUAGAGGCAUUGCAGAUGGCAGCACAGACAGUAUAAACCACAAACUGGAGAUCACUGGCCAAGCGGACCCAGUCCGAACUUCUCAACAUGAAAUUUCUGGAAUAAUGCUCACCUAAGAUUAACAGCAGUCGUUUCCGGAAGGUAAGAUUUGGGUAAAAUUUUUGUUUUCUUCUUUGUGUGCAGGACCAUGUCAAAUGCCAGUAGCUCCCUUCGGGGGGAAUAUUUACUUCUGGUGGCAGUACAAGACUCUUAAACAAGGGAUGUGGUCUCUCUUAAAACAAACGGGUUCUGGGUCUGCGAACCAACUCAGAUCGGGAAACUUGGUAGAGGACUAUGAUUUUCCACCCUAAGUGGAAAACUGUUUCAGUUUCACUCAUCAGUCUUGGACAUUUUCUUGAUGUUGUACAAGCCAAGUAGUAUUCCCACUGGCUCUCUAUCUUAUCUCUCAGAACACAGCUCAUUAUCACCACAGAUCCCUGCAGGGUAAGACACCUGAAGGGCCUGUCUAGCCUUACUAUCCAGUAGAGUAAUCGUGUCUACCUUCCAUCUAUCCAAGUGCCCCAUGUAGUGCCUGCCAUUCUGGAACCCAACUUUCCUGUUGAAAGGAGGCAGCUCAGUUCCAUAGCAGCAUCUCCUACUGUCGGCCCCGGAAUACAGAGGAAACCACCAUGGAGGUGGCUCAGUGCUAUCAGUGCCCCUCCCACCAGUGCACCUUAGCACCCUAGUAAAGGCCAUAUCCUCUAGGCCCUCCCAUGCACUGGCUUCUCUGGCCUAAAGCAACAAAACCACUCUCAUAUUCUCACUUUUCUGAUACUUUGACCCUUCCUCCAUAGUAAGCCAAGGCAGUUCUGCCAUGGCUGAAGUAGCAUGGAAGUAAGUGGCAGAAAAACUACUGCCUGGUAAAAAUCACAAACAAUUAUCAACAUGCCACAUUUUUUAAAAAUAAAGAUGAAGGACAGUUCAAACAUUGUAAACUGUAUCCAAAAUUAUAUUGAUCAUCAAAUUAAUAGUUCAAGGGGCACAUUGCUUUAAAGGAUUGGCCAUUAAUAGACAGAUUUUUCUACAGGGCUUGCCAGGUAACACUUUCCUCUCACGUUCUACUCAAGGGCUCUCUGUGGAAAACCUUUGCUUCUAGGUUGUAAAAUUUAGCACUAGUUUUAUUAGGUUGGUGCAAAAGUAAUUGUGGAAGUAAUUGUUGUGUUUGCCAUUACUUUCAAUGGCAAAACCCACAACUACUUUUGCACCAACCUAAUAUAUAGGUCAUUAGACUCAUGAUGUUAAGAUGCAUACUAAGAAACAGGCAACAGGUACAUCAGGCCCUGGUAUUUUUCAUGCAAUGAGAUAUAUAUUUAACAUCAUCAGGUUAUGUCUCUGAAAAAUUUGCAUCUGCAAAAUUGCACACUUGAAAUGUCAAAAUAAGUUACUAAAUUUUUUAGAGCUGCAGAAAUUUUACGCUAAUGGGGCAGUCUACCGCAAAGGUAGUAGUUUCACAGACUGAUUUUAUAUCCUCACUAAAAGAUGUUGGAAUCUUUCUUUUUAGUCACAGUUAUAUGAUAUAAAAUGUGCUAUUGGAUACUUCACUAUAUGAGAAAAGCUCCCUUAAAGAUAAAAUAAGGACAUAUACAAUCUUCUCUGAGUCCUUGGAGUCAGAGUAAAGAUACAUUUUAGCACAGAAAAUACUACAAUCUGGUCUUACUUUCUGAACACUUUAAUAGAAAUAGGCACAAAAAAAUUGUAAAAAGCAGGCAGUGUGUCAAGAACAGAAAUAGAAUGUGUCAUUUGGGGAUGGCCAUGUGGCUCCCAGAUUAGAUGUUUGCUACAUCCAUGAAAUCUGUCAAUCAACAGUUCAGUUUACGCAUGGAAGUUCUCCUUAUUUAAAAGUUUAAUGUUGCUGUGAUAACCGCUGUUAGAGAUGGUACCAGGGCCUGCCAGCAUACACUGCUUCUUUAUUCCUUUUCCUCUCCAGCCAACCAUCAACAGCCAGGACUACUGCCUGCUGAAGCUCCCGAAGCUCAUGAUACAGGGAGAGCAGAAGGCUGGAAACACAGCUGUGAUUAGCAAGCUGAUAGAUGAAGCAAGGCUGGAAGCAGGCGCUAUCUCCUGUGGUUAUCUUCCCAUUUAACACUUCAAAACACUUCUCCAGCACCUCAAUGUUCCAGAUAGUUCAUUCUAAAAACGACUCAAGAUGACAUGACAUGGGUCAGAGCUGCAGUCAAUCCUCAAAGGACACGUGACAUAAGUAUGAAAUAAGCCUUUUUUGUUCUAAGCCACUGAGGUUUAGGAUCAUGUUUACCAAAGCAAAACCAAGCUAAAAAUUAAUGGUAAUCUUAAGUAUUCUGGGAAUAAGCAGAAAUAUAUUUUUAAAAGAAGAAAAUAAAACUUUGUAUUACUAAGUAAGAGGCAGAGCACUGACGACAAAAUCUCAACUCCUUACACAAACCGGUCCUAACCUCCCUCUUUCCCUUCAUCUCCUACAGCAGGAACCUUUCUCCCCAUACUCUGGCUAACCUGGUCUUCAUCAUCAUUUAUUUUCCUUGAACACUUCCAGCUUGCUCUCUUCU